rnacentral:rRNA from 1 species
UUUAAAUGUUAAUAAUUAGAACUAAAGUAGUAUCAGUUAUGUUCUUUAAAUUUAAAGAUUUUGGCGGUAUUUUAGUCUAUUCAGAGGAACCUGUUCUGUAAUUGAUAGUCCACGAUUAACUUUACUUAAAUUUAAAAGUUUGUAUAUCGUUGUUUAUAGAAAAUUUUUUAAGAAAUAUAAUUUUUAAUAAAUUUAAUUAAAUUAUAAAUCAAAUCAAGGUGCAGUUUAUAUUUAAGUAGAAAUGGGUUACAAUAAAAUUAUUUAUACGAAUUUAAAUUUUCAAAAGUUUAAUGAAGGAGGAUUUGAAAGUAAUUUUAUUAAGUUUAAUAAAAUGAUUAUAGCUCUAGAAUAUGU